rnacentral:rRNA from 1 species
GACGAACGCUGGCGGCGUGCUUAACACAUGCAAGUCGAACGGAAAGGCCCUGCUUUUGUGGGGUGCUCGAGUGGCGAACGGGUGAGUAACACGUGAGUAACCUGCCCUUGACUUUGGGAUAACUUCAGGAAACUGGGGCUAAUACCGGAUAGGAGCUCCUGCUGCAUGGUGGGGGUUGGAAAGUUUCGGCGGUUGUGGAUGGACUCGCGGCUUAUCAGCUUGUUGGUGGGGUAGUGGCUUACCAAGGCUUUGACGGGUAGCCGGCCUGGGAGGUUGAACGGCCACAUUGGGACUGAGAUACGGCCCAGACUCCUACGGGAGGCAGCAGUGGGGAAUAUUGCACAAUGGGCGGAAGCCUGAUGCAGCAACGCCGCGUGCGGGAUGACGGCCUUCGGGUUGUAAACCGCUUUCGCCUGUGACGAAGCGUGAGUGACGGUAAUGAGUAAAGAAGCACCGGCUAACUACGUG